AUGGCGCUCCGGCACCUGCUCGCCGUUGCCCUCGCGGCGCUUGCAUUGGACGUGGCGGCGGCGGGCGGAGGUUCCGCAGCGCUCGGGGUGAACUACGGCCAGGUGGCCGACAACCUGCCGUCGCCGCAGGCGGCGGCCGUGCUCCUCCGCGCGCUGAACGCCACCAAGGUCAAGCUCUACGACGCGGACGCGCGCGUGCUCAGCGCGUUCGCCGGCUCCGGCGUGGACUUCACCGUGGGGCUGCCCGACAACAUGGUGCCGCGCCUGGCGUCCGACCCGUCCGCGGCCGCGACCUGGGUCCGCGUCAACAUCCUCCCUCACCUUCCGGCGACGUCCAUCACCGCCGUCACCGUCGGCAACGAGGUGCUGACGGGCAGCGACGCCACCAUGCUCCGCUCCCUCCUCCCGGCCAUGCAGUCGCUCCACGCGGCGCUGGCCGCGUGCAACCUCACCUCCCGGGUCGCGGUCACCACCGCGCACUCCCUCGCCGUGCUCUCCUCCUCCUUCCCGCCCUCCUCCGCCGCGUUCCGGCACGACCUCCUCCCCUACAUCACGCCGCUGCUCGCCUUCCUUGCCAAGACCGGCUCGCCGUUCCUCGUGAACGCGUACCCCUACUUCGCGUACAAGGCCGACCCGGGCACGGUGGACCUGGACUACGUGCUGUUCGAGGCCAACGCCGCUCCCGUGGUGGACUCCGCCACGGGGCUGCGGUACGGCAACAUGCUGCACGCGCAGGUGGACGCCGUGCGCGCCGCGAUCUGUGCCGCGGACUACGGGAGGGCGGUGGAGAUUCGGGUGUCGGAGACCGGGUGGCCGUCGCAGGGGGACGGCGACGAGGCCGGCGCCACGCCGCAGAACGCGGCCAGGUACAACGGCAACCUGAUGCGGCUGGUGGCGCAGGGGAAGGGCACGCCGGCGGCGCCCGGGGAGCCGCUGCAGGUGUACGUGUUCGCGCUCUUCAACGAGGACCAGAAGCCCGGGCCGGCCUCCGAGCGGCACUACGGCCUGUUCAAGCCGGACGGCACGCCGGCGUACGACGUCGGCGUCAAGGCGCCGACGAUCAAAGGCUUGAAGGGGAGCGGCAAUCGGGACGGCGGCGGCAGCGGAAACAGCACGGAUAGUGGCGUCGGGAUGGUGGUGGGGGAAGGGCCCGCCGGGACGGACGGGUUCGCCGUCGGCCCGGGCGGACUCUACACCAUUUCUGAUGCGACGCGCAAGGUGAGGAGGUGGCGGUGGACGGAAAGCUUUGCGGCUAUGGCCGCCGUUCUGGCGAUGGUGUCGUGGUCAUGA
rnacentral:rRNA from 1 species